UCGUGCCGAAGCUAACGCAAUCACAAUCCCCCCUGGAGAGUGGUCGCAGGCUGAAACUCAAAGGAAUUGACGGGGGCCAGCACAAGCGGUGGAGCAUGUGUUUUAUUUGACGCAACGGAAGAACCCUCCCUGGGCUUAAAUGUAGAGGAAUCUUUUAGAAAUAUGGCGCUAGCAAUAGGCCUUAUAUAGGUGCUGCAUGCUGUCUCAGCUCGUGUCGUGAGAUGUUGGGUUAAGUCCCGCAAGAGCGCAACCCUUAUCUCCAGUUGCUCCAUUUAGUUGAGCCUCUGGGAAACCCCUCGGAUAACGGGGAGGAAGGUGGGGAGACGUCAAGUCUCAUGGCCUUUAUGUCCAGGGCUACACACUUGCUCAAUGGCCGUCCAAACCGUCGCGAACCCUGAGGGGAGCCAAUCAAAAAACCCCCUUCAGUUCGGAUGAGUCUCAACUGAUUCGAAGCUGCCCAAUGAGUU
rnacentral:rRNA from 1 species